GACACGUGGAACUGCUUCUCCAUCGGGGAGGAUCCAUCCAGAGCCCUUUGGGUGGGUGCUCAGGGCAAUAGCUGCUGCCUCUUCCUUCUGCUCAGUGCUGGGAGGCGUUACACUUUCCCCAUAUGGCACGGAGCAGAACGUGCACCUUUGGCUCUGGAAGGAAUGAACAUCCUACCCGUUAGUUAGCCCUGGGAGUCACUGACUCGGUUCUUCCCUGGACACCAAUGUCCUAUGGAGCACACAGAAAGCCACGGAAGUGUGGUCUGCGGGUUGAGACGGACUCCGUUCAUGUGGAUAAGCAGAGGAAAUUUGGCAGAAACGACCAAAUGCAAAAUACGUGUAGCAGCCUGAGACCGGCCGUCUACUGAAACAAAGGAUGCAGUUCAGUCGGAAACCACGCUUAGCUGAGUAGCUGUCUUUAGCCAUCCAGGCCCUGAGAACCAAUGAACAACCCAGCUUGGCCGCUUAGAACAUUUUUUCUAUACUUGAGUUAAAUAGAUAUCCAAGAACCAUUACUCGUUUUUAAUGUGGAGAAGUCGGUAUUCUAUUCUCGUGUUCUAUGUUUUUUAAAGUGGCAAUUUGAAUUAUUUCGUGCGAUAGAAAACCUUAAACACAAAGUAACGUUUCUAACAAAAGGGCUGUCGAUCAAGUGACAAACACGUCCUACUUUUAGAUACAAGCACGACUGAGGCAACGGCACGAAGACGCCUAAAGUGGGCUGCUGGGGAGACAAGAUCUGGCCGCGAAUGGAACUCGCGGCAGCUCAUUAACGGGACCGUCCAGCAGGAAGGUCUCAGGGCACUGUCGCCCCUACUCACUUUGAUGAAGCCAGUGCUGGGUUGCUGCUGAGGUGGGGAGGUUCAUGGGCCAGGAACUGAAGGCAGCCAUGAGAGCCAGACCCCUCCACCACCCCCAAGACAGCAGGGAACUCACUCCAACAGCCACCCUGGGAUGCUGCCACAGCUGAGCCUGGAGGU
ensembl:lncRNA novel transcript